GGUCGGUGAAAUCCAUACCCUACCUCCACGUGGUACCGGCUGGAAUAUACAAUAGUAAUUUUGAGUGGUGG
rnacentral:ribozyme from 1 species